CGGACGGGUGAGUAAUGUCUGGGAAACUGCCUGAUGGAGGGGGAUAACUACUGGAAACGGUAGCUAAUACCGCAUAACGUCGCAAGACCAAAGAGGGGGACCUUGGGCCUCUUGCCAUCGGAUGUGCCCAGAUGGGAUUAGCUAGUGGUGGGGUAACGGCUCACCUAGGCGACGAUCCCUAGCUGGUCUGAGAGGAUGACCAGCCACACUGGAACUGAGACACGGUCCAG
rnacentral:rRNA from 1 species